UAUUUAAGAUACUAAAUGAGUUUAUAAACAGUGAGUGAGUUAAAUCCUGCAGGUCUGUGCAGUCACUCUGUGGUUUUACUCAGAAUAUUAAUUAACUGCUUUAAUUUGUUUCAUAAAAACACAUCUUAUUAUUUUCAAGUCCAAAUGUCACCAGGAUGCAGUAAAUCUUUUGACUCUUAACAGCAGCAAUAAAAAUCAGUUCAGCUUCAAAAUGACUUGAUGCUUCCAUCAAUCUCUAACUUGAUGUGUUUAUGUGAACAGUUCCCAAUAAGCCCACCGUGAUCCUCGAACCAUCCUGGCCUCAGAUAUACAGCAGUGAGACAGUCACUGUCAGAUGUGAAGGAAGUCAGUCGCUGUUUGUAUGGAGAGAUGGCACAUUAAUCAGACCAUCAGCAUCUGAAUACAGAAUCAGCAGAGCUACUGAGUCUGACAGUGGAGGAUACAGCUGCUGCACCAUGAGUCUUUCAGUCUGCAGUGACAUCAUCACACUGACUGUAUCAUCAAGUAAACCCAGAGCCACACUGACAGCACAAAGUUCAGUCAUACCAGCAGGGGGCAGUGUGACACUGAGCUGCUCUGUGGAGGGCUCUGCUGGCUGGAAGUUUGACUGGUUCAGACGUGAUUCAGUCUCUUCUAAAGCUCAGCUCAUGAGAGGAAAUGAAGCAAACAGAGUUAUUAGUGUCUCACAAGGAGGUCUGUACCACUGCAGAGGAGGGAGAGGAGAUCCAGUUUACUACACAGAGGACAGCAGUGACGUCACAGUU